rnacentral:rRNA from 1 species
UACAAGAAACGAGGCCGCGUGCGUGCGCUCGCCCGCCCGGCCCCGCUCCUUACCUUGCCUACUGCACCGUUUGUUGCUUCCUGGCGGCGGACUGCCCGCCGCCAGGGACGUUGAUACAACCCUGUAUAGAAGCAUUGAAGCUCUGAGAAAACGCGAAAUCGUACAACUUUCAACAAUGGAUCUCUUGGUUCUGGCAUCGAUGAAGAACGCAGCGAAAUGCGAUAAGUAGUGUGAAUUGCAGAAUUCAGUGAAUCAUCGAAUCUUUGAACGCACAUUGCGCCCCUUGGCAUUCCAUGGGGCAUGCCUGUUCGAGCGUCAUCUAAACCCUCAAGCCCCCGGCUUGGUGUUGGGUGCCUGUCCCCGCUCCCCGCGCGGACUCACCCCAAAUGCAUUGGCAGCCGCCUCUCGGCUUCUUGCGCAGCACAGUGCGCAGCGAGGCGAGGUGAGGCGUGCGUCCAGCAAGCAACCACCCAAGUUUGACCUCGGAUCAGGUAGGGAUACCCGCUGAACUUAAGCAUAUCAAUAAGCGGAGGAAAAGAAACCAACUGGGAUUGCCCUAGUAACGGCGAGUGAAGCGGCAACAGCUCAAAUUUGAAAUCUGGCCUCCUUCGGUG